UAGGGAAUCUUCCGCAAUGGGCGAAAGCCUGACGGAGCAACGCCGCGUGAGUGAUGAAGGUUUUCGGAUCGUAAAACUCUGUUGUUAGGGAAGAACAAAUUUGUUAGUAACUGAACAAGUCUUGACGGUACCUAACCAGAAAGCCACGGCUAACUACGUGCCAGCAGCCGCGGUAAUACGUAGGUGGCAAGCGUUAUCCGGAAUUAUUGGGCGUAAAGCGCGCGUAGGCGGUUUCUUAAGUCUGAUGUGAAAGCCCACGGCUCAACCGUGGAGGGUCAUUGGAAACUGGGGAACUUGAGUGCAGAAGAGGAGAGUGGAAUUCCAUGUGUAGCGGUGAAAUGCGCAGAGAUAUGGAGGAACACCAGUGGCGAAGGCGGCUCUCUGGUCUGUAACUGACGCUGAUGUGCGAAAGCGUGGGGAUCAAACAGG
rnacentral:rRNA from 1 species